rnacentral:rRNA from 1 species
UGCGUAGGCGGAAUAUUAAGUCAGUAGUGAAAUCCCGCAGCUUAACUGUGGAACUGUUAUUGAUACUGGUUUUCUUGAAUAUAGUUGAGGUAGGCGGAAUGUGUAAUGUAGCGGUGAAAUGCUUAGAUAUUACACAGAACACCGAUUGCGAAGGCAGCUUACUAAGCUAUGAUUGACGCUGAGGUACGAAAGCGUGGGGAGCGAACAGGAUUAGAUACCCUGGUAGUC